rnacentral:lncRNA from 1 species
UGGAACAACCCAAAGUUUCACCAUAUUGAAAACUCUCUCUCUCUCCAUAUUUCGAGUCCUUCCUAGUUUUUGGUUAAACAAACGAGGAAAAAGAAACUUUUUCUUUAGGAGAUAUUUUAUGCGUGCACCGAAUUUUUGAAACUGGCCAAUCUGCCAGUAAAGAACAAAAUCGCAUUGAACAAGGAAGUGAAAGUACGAGUACCGAAAAGACAGUUAGUUUUGGUUCGUAGGGCCCCUUCGCCCGCACACUUCGAACGAGGAGCAUGCAAAUGGUGGACUCGUCAAAGGGACGAAGAGUCGUUCGAAAAUAUAUAAUUCAGACCGUAAAUGGCCCUCUUACGGACUGGUAAAACGGUUAACUUUUAACGUGGCCGGCUUAGGUAUGGAACCUUGGAAAGCGUAGUUUCCAUGCGAAAGGAAAAAGAAGCGACGAAAAGUGUAGGACAGAUCGCAUUAUCCUUUGAUAAAACGACUUCUUGGCGGGCUAAAGGUGGCGGAGGGGAGGGAGAAGGGAAGGGGGAAAAAUGCGAAGCGAAACUCGUUAUUAAGAAAACGAAUCAUAAUGGAAAGUGCUUGAAAGAUUGAUGGGACAAAGGACGAGGAGAUAGAAGUUGGUGUAACUUCGCUCUCUGUAUAAUUUUAUACAGGGCCUAAGAAUCGGGAUGAGGCCGGUGUUAAACGUUCCGUUUGAUCGAUGUGAAUGUUGAAGAAUGAAAUUUCUUGACGAAUUUUUAAGGAAGAAAUACAACAAAGCAUCGAGAUACGAUAAAGAGAAAAAAGAAAAGUGAAUUCAAAGAAGAAUACGUGUGUAUAUGUUCAUGAGCAAUAACAAUUCGACAUCUAUAGAACAGAAGAAGAGUCAUUUGUUAUGGUCCAAUCAUCACCGCCGUAUAAAGAAGGAGAACGAAAACUUCGACUGGUCUCGAAGAAAAAGGGAAAAAAAGGCGAGUAUUCACCCCGUACACCCUUUCGAUCGUUUCAACAGCAAUAAAACAGCAGUAGCACAGAUAUAUCCUCGAUAUUAUGUCAUCGAUCGGAAAUAUCAAACCGUUCCACGAAUCUCGUUACCGUAUCGAGGAGUAAUGACUCUCCGUAUCAAAAGGAGCAUUGGAAGAUUCCAUUUCGCGGAGUCCAUCCCCCUAUCCAUUGUAUUAAAAAUAUUUUAUGUAGGAACAAAAAGAGGAGGAAACGAGAAGAGAACGAAUUCUAAGAGGGAAGGAAAAAAGAAGAAGAAGAAGAAGAGGAAAUAUGUGGCUUUCGCUUUUCCUCGUAGAACGUAACACCGCGCUUUACGAUUACGAACAGGCACCGUGAUCCUCGUUACGACCUCGUAAAGAAACCUUUUAACGUGUCCACUCGGACCUUUCACUCGGACCUAGCUUCGAUCAACGCUUCACGUAGAUGGCGCGCCAUCCGUCUAUUUUUGAGCGUCAAAAAAUGGGAUAUUGAUUUUCGAUGAAUAAAAAUAGAACGGAGAUCCAAAAUGGCUGUGCAUACUGAGGACGACACUCUUCUUAUAAAGGAAAGUCAGAUACGUGAGAAAACUCUUUUUCAUCUUUUACAAAAGUUCAUACGUCAUAAAGUGAAAAGUAUAUAUGUUUGCUAUAUUGA